GAUGAAGAACGCAUUGAAAUGCGAUAAGUAAUGUGAAUUGCAGAAUUCAGUGAAUCAUCGAAUCUUUGAACGCACAUUGCGCCCGCCAGUAUUCUGGCGGGCAUGCCUGUUCGAGCGUCAUUACAACCCUCAGGCCCCCGGGCCUGGCGUUGGGGAUCGGCGGAGCCCCCCGUGGGCACACGCCGUCCCCCAAAUGCAGUGGCGGUCCCGCCGCAGCUUCCAUCGCGUAGUAGCUAACACCUCGCGACUGGAGAGCGGCGCGGCCACGCCGUAAAACACCCAACUCUUCUGAAGUUGACCUCGAAUCAGGUAGGAAUACCCGCUGAACUUAAGCAUAUCAAUAAGCGGAGGA
rnacentral:misc_RNA from 1 species